GAAUAGGGAUGAUAUAAGUUCAUUUGUCUGUCAAUCCGCUGAUGUUGUGUGAUGUUACUUUAGGGCUAUAACUC